rnacentral:tRNA from 1 species
UUUAGUGACUGAAAAGCAAGUACUGGUCUCUUAAACCACUUAAUGGUAAAAGCGUUUACCCUAAAUA